rnacentral:lncRNA from 1 species
AAAAAACUAGAACAAAGAACAGAGGAAAACAACCAAAACACCCCAAGUGAUCUCCAACUAAUGAGGUGACCGCAAUCGAGAUGAAGACUCCUAGGAUGUAGUGUCAGUUGUCCUUUGUACCUUUAGCGCAUCCACAGAGGGAAGUGGUGAAAGCUACUUCGGGGAGCAGAGGAGGCUAGCAGGAAGGUAAACAGUAAGACAGAGAAGCAAGACUCCAGCGGCGGAAAGGGAAGAGAGAAGGCCGUGGUACAGAGGAGGAUUUUCUGCCUAUGAAGAACCGAGACAGCAGUGCUCACCAGCUGAGAUGUCCAGGCCCAGCAACAGCACAGCGCUUGACUCCUUCCAAACGCCCAUAGGGCCUUGUGUUUGGAUGAGGUCUCCACACGAAGAACAUAUGCAGUGA